UACGUAGGGGGCAAGCGUUGUCCGGAAUUAUUGGGCGUAAAGAGCGCGUAGGCGGUCCGGUAAGUCGGUUGUGAAAGUCGGGGGCUCAACCCUCGGAUGCCGAUCGAUACUGUCGGGCUAGAGUCCGGAAGAGGCGAGUGGAAUUCCUGGUGUAGCGGUGAAAUGCGCAGAUAUCAGGAGGAACACCAAUGGCGAAGGCAGCUCGCUGGGACGGUACUGACGCUGAGGCGCGAAAGCUAGGGGAGCAAACGGG
rnacentral:rRNA from 1 species